AGUGAGCGCUGGCGGUAGGCCUAACACAUGCAAGUCGAACGGCAGCACAGGAGAGCUUGCUCUCUGGGUGGCGAGUGGCGGACGGGUGAGGAAUACAUCGGAAUCUACUCUGUCGUGGGGGAUAACGUAGGGAAACUUACGCUAAUACCGCAUACGACCUACGGGUGAAAGCAGGGGACCUUCGGGCCUUGCGCGAUUGAAUGAGCCGAUGUCGGAUUAGCUAGUUGGCGGGGUAAAGGCCCACCAAGGCGACGAUCCGUGGCUGGUCUGAGAGGAUGAUCAGCCACACUGGAACUGAGACACGGUCCAGACUCCUACGGGAGGCAGCAGUGGGGAAUAUUGGACAAUGGGCGCAAGCCUGAUCCAGCCAUACCGCGUGGGUGAAGAAGGCCUUCGGGUUGUAAAGCCCUUUUGUUGGGAAAGAAAGCCAUCUGGUUAAUACCCGGGUGGGAUGACGGUACCCAAAGAAUAAGCACCGGCUAACUUCGUGCCAGCCGCCGCCGUAA
rnacentral:rRNA from 1 species